UACGGGGGGGGCAAGCGUUGUUCGGAAUUACUGGGCGUAAAGCGCGCGUAGGCGGCUUUUCAAGUCGGGCGUGAAAGCCCCGGGCUUAACCCGGGAAUGGCGCUCGAUACUGUUGAGCUAGAGUGUGGAAGGGGCUACUGGAAUUCCUGGUGUAGCGGUGAAAUGCGCAGAUAUCAGGAGGAACACCGGUGGCGAAGGCGGGUCUCUGGGCCGAUACUGACGCUGAGGAGCGAAAGCGUGGGGAGCGAACAGG
rnacentral:rRNA from 1 species